ACUCCUACGGGAGGCAGCAGUGGGGAAUAUUGCACAAUGGGCGCAAGCCUGAUGCAGCCAUGCCGCGUGUAUGAAGAAGGCCUUCGGGUUGUAAAGUACUUUCAGCAGUGAGGAAGGUGGGGUAUGUUAAUAGCAUAUUCUAUUUGUACGUUAGCUGCAGAAGAAGCACCGGCUAACUCCGUGCCAGCAGCCGCGGUAAUACGGAGGGUGCGAGCGUUAAUCGGAAUUACUGGGCGUAAAGCGCAUGCAGGUGGUUUGUUAAGUCAGAUGUGAAAGCCCGGGGCUCAACCUCGGAAUUGCAUUUGAAACUGGCAAACUAGAGUACUGUAGAGGGGGUAGAAUUUCAGGUGUAGCGGUGAAAUGCGUAGAGAUCUGAAGGAAUACCGGUGGCGAAGGCGGCCCCUGGACAGAUACUGACACUCAGAUGCGAAAGCGUGGGAGCAAACAGGAUUAGAU
rnacentral:rRNA from 1 species